AACAAACGCUGGCGGCGUGCCUAAUACAUGCAAGUCGAACGGGGAAAGCUUUCGGGUGAGUACUAGUGGCGCACGGGUGAGAAACGCGUGGAUAAUCUGCCUUAGAGUGGGGGAUAACUAGUCGAAAGAUUAGCUAAUACCGCAUAAGACCACAGGAGCUGCGGCUCUAGGGGUCAAAGGUUUUUCGCUCUAAGAUGAGUCCGCGUAAGAUUAGCUAGUUGGUGAGGUAACGACUCACCAAGGCGACGAUCUUUAACUGGUCUGAGAGGAUGAUCAGUCACACUGGAACUGAGACACGGUCCAGACUCCUACGGGAGGCAGCAGUAGGGAAUAUUGCACAAUGGAGGAAACUCUGAUGCAGCGACGCCGCGUGAGUGAUGAAGGCCUUCGGGUCGUAAAGCUCUGUCGCAGGGGAAUAACACAAUGAAUGUACCCUGUAAGAAAGGAUCGGCUAACUUCGUGCCAGCCGCCGCGGUAAGAC
rnacentral:rRNA from 1 species